rnacentral:rRNA from 1 species
AUUGAACGCUGGCGGCUUGCCUUACACAUGCAAAUCGAACGGUAACGGGCCUUCGGGUGCCGACGAGUGGCGAACGGGUGAGUAAUACAUCGGAACGUGCCCGAUCGUGGGGGAUAACGAGGCGAAAGCUUUGCUAAUACCGCAUACGAUCUACGGAUGAAAGCAGGGGACCGCAAGGCCUUGCGCGGACGGGGCGGCCGAUGGCAGAUUAGGUAGUUGGUGGGAUAAAAGCUUACCAAGCCGACGAUCUGUAGCUGGUCUGAGAGGAUGAUCAGCCACACUGGGACUGAGACACGGCCCAGACUCCUACGGGAGGCAGCAGUGGGGAAUUUUGGACAAUGAGCGCAAGCCUGAUCCAGCCAUGCCGCGUGCAGGAUGAAGGCCUUCGGGUUGUAAACUGAUUUUGUACGGAACGAAAAGCCUUCUUUUAAUACAGGAGGGUCAUGACGGUACCGUAAGAAUAAGCACCGGCUAACUACGUG